rnacentral:lncRNA from 1 species
UGAUAAGAUAUUAGUUAUAGACUUUGGUUUAUCAUCAUAGAGGUUCCCAGAAUUGAACAUUGUAAGUAGGUUAAACAUACUGUAUAUUGUCCAUUUUAAAGUAAUAACAUUUAAACAAAGGGUCUGGAUUACACCCCCUGGGGUGGAUAACAAUUGGCUGGAGUUGGUGGUUGUUAACCAAUAGGGGGUGCUCCUCUGACUGCACCAAGUAGAUCACUGAACUGAAGAAGUCAUGCGGUUGGCAGGAGCAUUGGAUUUUAGUCACACUAUAGUAUACCUUUAAGGUAUUCUAAGCUUGGCUGCAUUACAUUUGAUCAUAGAAGACACACACAGUAGUGUCAGCCCAACAGGACGCUCAGGUCUGUCUAUCUGGCCUCUUGUAAUCUGGGUUGUAAUUUUAGUUGAGAAUGUAACACAGAGAAUGCUUGUUAUGAUGAUGAUAUCGACCAAAACAAACGUUAUGUAGUUCAGCAAUCGGGUUUGAUUCUCAUGAGAAGGAGAAAUAUAUAAGUUUCCAAUUAAGGAAUUGGUAAGGUUGCUGACCAAAACAAAUGGUGUAGUUAAUAAUACCUUUACCUAUAUUUGGUGCCCCGCAUGAGGAUAACAUAAUAUUAACCGGGUUUUUUUGCAUUUUAUGAAGCCUUUUAUUUACAGAUCUGUUCGCUAAAAUAUAAUAAUGUAUCUAAUAAUAAAAAUAAUAAUAAUCUAAUCAUUUUUAUGGGGGGAGAUUAUGUUCCCAAGUUUACCUGAUUGACAGGUGCGGUUGGUAAUCUAUCAAUUCAGAUUAAAAAAAGGAAGGGGGAAAAAUGACAUCAAGUACAGUAUAGAAGCCAUCUUAUUAAUGCAGUAUAUUUUCCUCUUGCAUAGACACAUGGUUGAACAUUACUGUGAAAAAUAAAUAACUGUAAAUUAAUUAGUAGUUAUUAAUAUGCAUGUCAGAUGCAAAUGACAAGUCUUUCUAUACCUCUAGGUCCUCUGUUACUUUCCUUGCAUAUUCCACAUGGCAGUAGAAUGAUCACAAUCACAACCAGUGCAAGAGCGG